GAUGAACGCUAGCUACAGGCUUAACACAUGCAAGUCGAGGGGCAGCAUGAAAGUUUGCUUGCAAACUUUUGAUGGCGACCGGCGCACGGGUGAGUAACACGUAUCCAACCUGCCUCAUACUCGGGGAUAGCCUUUCGAAAGAAAGAUUAAUACCCGAUGUUAUAGUCCUACCGCAUGAUGGGAUUAUUAAAGAAUUUCGGUUAUCGAUGGGGAUGCGUUCCAUUAGUUAGUUGGCGGGGUAACGGCCCACCAAGACGACGAUGGAUAGGGGUUCUGAGAGGAAGGUCCCCCACAUUGGAACUGAGACACGGUCCAA
rnacentral:rRNA from 1 species